AGGCUGCAGGGGAGUCUCAUGUUGUGAGACUGAGGAGAGCGUCUCUGGAGUUGGUUCUCUGCAGGCGAGACUCGGAUAUAGGAACUAACAAGACGGACACAUCUUUCUGUCAAAAGACUUCCAUAGGAAAACCUUUUGGUUGGAAAUGCACUGGGGACUGGAUACAAAGCGCGGGCUGGUCAGGUGGAGACGGGGUGCCGCUGCGGCAUGACACGGAGCUGUUCGCCUACGGUGGCUGUGGACCUGUGGACCCCGUUGAAGGAGCAGCCCUGCGCCGUGCAGUUGGUGAAGUCGAACAGAUCGCGGACCAGCUCCCGGCACCUGUCUGAGUCGGGCUUCCCCACAAAGCCUCAUGCCGGCGGUGGCCCCCAGGAACAGCGGUGUUUUCUGGCGUUUCUCCACUGGGAUUUCUUUUGUGACCUUCUGCAUGCAUCCCGUGAAGGACGCCCAAGUAUCUUUGUCCUUCUCCGCGUCCACCAACAUGUCGGAGAUGGCGUUGCCUGGCGACGCGAAGACAAGCUCCCAUCAACGUUCGACACCCGGUGACACUUUCUAAUUUUCCGCUCUUGCUAAACAUGCUACAAUUUGUAUCUUUCUCCAGAUUAAAGCCAUGACGAUC